rnacentral:rRNA from 1 species
UACAGAGACUGCAAGCGUUAUUCGGAUUCACUGGGCGUAAAGGGUGCGCAGGCGGCCGUGUGUGUGAGGCGUGAAAGCCCGGGGCUUAACCCCGGAAUUGCACCUCAAACUACAUGGCUAGAGCAUUGGAGAGGGUAGCGGAAUUCACGGUGUAGCAGUGAAAUGCGUAGAUAUCGUGAGGAACACCAGAGGCGAAAGGCGGCUACCUGGACAAUUGCUGACGCUCAGGCACGAAAGCGUGGGGAGCGAUCCGG